rnacentral:lncRNA from 12 species
AUGGCCAUCUCGGGGGAGAGGGAAGGAGGAGCAGCUAGAGGGAGGUGGGGAAAGAAGGGCAGACAGCCCAUCCGCUUGGAAGGCAGCAUGCACAGAUGUUUGCAGCAGCAGAUGGCAGCCUGCAGCAGAGCCGUCCACAGUACCCCUGGCCAGCAAGGGGUAGGAAAGGAAGAGGGAGGCUGCCCAGGCUCCUCUGGAUCCACCGUCUUGAACAACAGCGGCUCCCGCUGUGGACAUGGGCUGAGGGGAUCACAUCACAGCCUGUGUGACAUGGAUGAUGUCUCCUGUCCCCAGCUCCCACUGGAGACCUACUGGCACCGUACCAUCAGCUCUGGACUGUCUUUCCUUCUCUGUUGUUGGCCUCUGGCAAUUGCCCCAACUUCCUUAGAGACUCUGGUAUGCAUUAACAAUAAUUAUCCUUUUCUUUUUUUUUUUUUUUUAAGAUUUUAUUUAUUUAUUUUAGGGAGAGAGAAUAUGAGUGGCAGGGCCAGAAGGAGAGGGGGAGAGAGAAUCCCAAGCAGACUCCCUGCUGAGCAAGGAGCCAACACAGGGCUCGAUCUCAUCACUCUGACAUCACAACUUGAGCCAAAAUCAAGAGUUGGGUGCUCAACUGACUGAGCCACCCAGUCGCCCCAAUAAUUAGUUUUUUCAACAUCUCCAUUUCCUAGCAGGGUGGUUUUCAGGUCAUCCCCCCAUUGCACAGAGGCGGAAACUGAGGCCUCAAGAGGUUAGAAACCUCACCCCACACCACAUAGUUAGCAAGUGGCAGAACGGUGUUUAAACCCAGAACCUGUCGUCUGUCGUGCAAUGUGAAUGGUGGCUGGGGGACGGGGUCACACGCUCGGCCUGCAGCAGACUCUUAUCCAGAACCAGAGAUCCCAGCUCUCCUGCCUAGUCCCUGGAGUCCUCAAGCCCUUCCUGAUAAUCAUGAAGCCCCAAGGAAAGGGAAGCUCCGUGUCCACCUAAGACACCUGGCAAGCGAGAUGCCGUUAAUGUGUUCAGUCUGCCCAAGGGGAAGGGGUUGCUGGGGCCAGGACCCAGCAAAAGCAAGCUGGGGGUGCUCUGGUCAUUUCCUACCGCUGCCGUAACAAAUCCUUGGUGUUCCUCGACCUGUAGCUGCAUAUAACACCCAUCUCUCCUCCAUCGUCCCCCUGCCUUGUCCUCUGUACGUCUCCGUGUGUUCUCCUUCUGUGUCUGAUUUCCUUCUGCCUCGCUCUUGCAAGGACACCUGUCACUGGAUUUACGGCCCACCCAGGUAAUCCAGGAUGAUCUCCUCCGGAGACCCCGUCAGUUAAUCACAUCUAAAAAGCCCCCUUUCCCGGGGGAUCCCAGUCACAGGCCCCAGGGCCUCCGGAUGCCCUCACAUCACUCUUGGGAGGGGGCAUGAGGGGACCCACUGCAGUCAGAAAGGCUGCCCACGACUCCGCUCUGCUCUGAGCCCGGGGCCUGGGCGAGGGGCAGAGCCACACCGGGCUGCCGCCGGUGCCUCUUUUAUUGUUUCGUCCUCUUCUCUUUUGUUUUGAGGUUUUCUGCCCUCUUUUCUGGAAGGUGCACGAUGCUCGGCUCUGUGGUUAUUUUCGCCUAACAGCUGUGUUUCCGGUGAGCAGCUGGGGGGAUGCUUCUGAGUCAGCAAAACGGGAGCAGUAACCGCCAAGAAGCCGUUCAAGCAAGGCUAGAAAUAAAGCAGCAGUUUCUUCCCCGUCCCCUCCUCCU